rnacentral:rRNA from 1 species
UACAGAGGUCCCAAGCGUUGUUCGGAUUCACUGGGCGUAAAGGGUGCGUAGGCGGUCGGGUAAGUCUGACGUGAAAUCUCCAAGCUCAACUUGGAAAUGGCGUCGGAUACUAUUCGGCUCGAGGAAUGGAGGGGAGACUGGAAUUCUCGGUGUAGCAGUGAAAUGCGCAGAUAUCAGGAGGAACACCGGUGGCGAAGGCGGUUCUCUGGGCAUGAUCUGACGCUGAGGAGCGAAAGUGUGGGGAGCGAACAGG